UGAGGAGAGCGGCUGUGGAGCAGGGCGCAUGCGCAGAGGCUGCUGCGCCGCUUUUGGCGCCAAAAGGCUGAGAGGAAAGGGAGGGGCUGGGCGCUGCCCCUCAGGUGAGGGGCGGCCGGGGGCUGUUGCGCCCCGGGAAGGGGUUUAACGUUUUAAGAUUUUAACAUAGCGGAUAUCGAGCCUUACGCGAUGUUCUGGCACUGGGGGAGGGCUUCGGGACAGGUCUCCGGCCAUUCCCCGUGCGAACGCCCGUUGAGUCUUCUGGGAGCCCAAAGCUCGGCCGGUGGGACAUUCUCUGCCUGGCCACAGGAUCGGCUGCGCCGCAGGCUUCAUGGCGCGCACCGGGAGAAUUUCCCUGGAGGAACUCUGCUCCUCGGCCACUCACUGCAGGGGCAGACAAUGACCUGCUACACCAUGGAGAAACGAGAAAACUUUGAAACCACAGUGGGAAGGACCAUACCAGGUGCUCCUUACUACCUUCACUGCAAUUAAGAUCAAGGAAGAGAGUGCCUGGAUUCGCCAUUCUUGAGUGGAGAAAGCCCCAGAAGCCCCCUGGAAAGUAACACUGGGUGACAGUGAAUUGAAACUAAAGCUCACUCGAGCAAAAUGAAGACGUUACGGUCAGGAAUAUUUAGUAAAAUAGUUUGCAGAAAUUUAGUUAAUAGAAUUGUUUUAUUUGCGUGGCUUAUAGUUGUUGUUGUGAUUCAAGAAUUGGAAAGUGCCUCUAAGAUAAUAGAGAAUGGUGAGUGGCCUUGGUCCGAAGCCGUAACAACGGAGGAUAAGAGCAUUAAUGGAAAAUUAGCAGUUGUGGUUAUGUGGCAAACAAAUGGUGACCAUUUACAUAUAUUAUCACAAUGGCAAAAAUUAGGAGAAGAGUGGACACACCAAAGAACUGCAGGGGAUGAAAUUAAAAUAGGGUGCCAAAUGAUUAAUGGAACAACCCACAAGAAAGUAACAGGGAUUUUAGUAAAACCGAUUUCCAAAAGUGGCCAGCAAGAAGGUUGUAUCCGCCCAGGUAAAUUAGAUUGUUGGUAUAAUUUUAUAUUAACACAGACCGUAGUAGUUAGCUGUUUUUGGACUAAUAAUGGCCAAGAGCUCAAAAUCGAGGAGGGCGAGGGCCUCAUAUUAAAUUUUACAAUAUAUGCUGUACUUCCUACAACAGUGGAGCCCCCUACAACCUAUGCCAGCACUCAAGUGGCCCAACCCCAAACCAAACUUAAACCCAAAAUUUAUGAAACAGGCCCAUAUUUAGUAAGGAACACAGGCCAACAACAAUUGUUAUUUAAUCCAGAAUGGUCUCUGAAGCAUGUUGAAUUGCUAAUGCAAAUUAACAUCUCGGAAGUUCAACCAGCCCGCUCUCCUUUCCUAAAGACAUCAUUUGAAGGCUGGACAACAUGGUUACAAAAGCAAGCACACCUCAGGGGCAGGACACGAAGAGACUUAACUGGAAUGCUAGGAACAGGAUUAGGAGUUUUAAACGGAAUUGAUUGGGAAAUAUUAAUGAAUAAGCUGGCCACUGCAACAAGUGAUUUGACAAAACUAAAACAGCCCCUACAAUCAUCAUUAUUGGCAUUGGGAACUAGGCAAUGGCAGGUUUCAAAGGUAUUACCGAGAUGGGAAAAGGCUGAAGACCAAGACCGCAAACUAAUAAUAGAUGCACUUAGUAUGGUUCAAGAUAAUGUAUCUUUAGCUUUUAGUUGUAUGCAAGCACAGUUAUGGAUGCAGGCAACAGCUGCCUUGAUCAUUAGGGAAGGAAGUGAAGGCGUUUUCCCGGUUGAAGUCUGAAAGGCUGUUUGGGACAAUGCCAAUGAUUUUGAGAGGAAGUUCCAAUCUUGGUGGACUCUGGUAAAUUUGACCUAUGAUCCCACUGUUAACGUGGCUACUGCCUUUGUGCUUACUAUACGUAAUGCCACAGUUUAUGUUAUCCACCCCAUUGUUGCACUAGGAUUAAACCAUAAGGAGACAGUGCUUUAUCCUUCAAAGCAUAGAACAUGGGCACGGAUGGUGAAUGGGAAAUGGCAGACUGUAAAUCUGGAAUCAUGUGCUAACCGGGAACAACAAGGAUUCAUCUGUGAAAGCAACACAAUUGACGCUCAGGACGUAUGUCUUGACACUGAGCAAGGUGUUUGCCCCUUUGAAAUUCAUCCAAAUACUAGUCAAAAGACUGUGCUUGUAUAUAUUGGUCAAGGCUGUGUGUGUUUAAGAACUGCUUGUGCUUUUGUAGCAGUAGAUAAGGAAAAUAUAACUCUCCCUAGCAAAAAUCAUUCUAACUUUUGUAUUUGUAACUUUGUUAGAAUUGUCGGGUGUGAUUUUCUAUAUUUGGCACCAGUGGUAUCCCACCAGUUAGUCAAGUCUAACAACACAAUGUAUCACAAGUUAUUACCUACACCUAUUGGGAUGAGCCUCACGUUAGUGAGGCAAUUAGUUAAACGCCAAGACCUGAUCAAAAUUUUGAAAGGCAUUCAGGAAAAUGGAGAGAAGACUCUAAUCACUGUCCAUCAUGAUACAAAGGAAAUAAGCAGAGUUCUGCAAAGAGUAAAACAAAACGAAAAUCACAACUGGUGGGAUGCACUCUUUGGAUGGUCGCCAACAGCAACUGGGAUUUUGAACACAUGGUGUCACCCAAUUAUCGUUUUAUUGAUAUUAAUUGGUAUAAGUUUAGUAUUGUCUUUUGUAAUACUUGUUUGGAAUUGGAAAAUGUUACAACGAACGGCGAUAUUAACUUCCUUGUCAAAAGUACAUGGCAAGGCAUUGAGGGAUACAUAUCGUAGAGAUUGGGAAGAAGAAUUUUUGUAUUAAGUAAAAGAAUUUACUAGAUUUUCUAGAAAAGGGGGGACUGAGACAUGGGGUUAGAAAUUAGAGGGCGAUUGAUUAAGAGUGGAUAUGAGACAACACUCAUUGCUUAAUACGUGCUACGCAAACGCAGAAGGACUGAUAAGAUAACUAGCAUACGAAGCGGGGCUAGGCGGAGCUAGGAAAUGCAUAUGCAUAGAUGUGUUGCGAAACAAUGCAUAUGUAAUAUUUUAGGGGAUAAAAGAGAACGCGAGUGAGCAAAUUGUUGCGUAUGCCUUUGGGAGCUAUACUGCAUAUGCCCAGCGCCGAAAUAAACCACAUACCUACUUUAUAACU